rnacentral:hammerhead_ribozyme from 1 species
AUCCAGCUGAUGAGUCCCGAAUAGAGCGAAAUUCGCAUCCUGGAU